rnacentral:rRNA from 1 species
GAUGAACGCUAGCGGGAGGCCUAAUACAUGCAAGUCGAACGGUAAGGCUCCUUCGGGAGUACACGAGUGGCGCACGGGUGCGUAACGCGUACAUAACAUACCUUAAAGCGGGGGAUAGCCUUUGGAAACGAAGAAUAAUACCCCAUAGUAACAUGAUAUCGCCUGAUAUAUUGUUUAAAGUUCCGACGCUUUAAGAUUGGUGUGCGUAUGAUUAGUUAGUUGGUGAGGUAACGGCUCACCAAGGCAACGAUCAUUAGGGGGCGUGAGAGCGUGAUCCCCCACACGGGCACUGAGACACGGGCCCGACUCCUACGGGAGGCAGCAGUAAGGAAUAUUGGGCAAUGGAGGCAACUCUGACCCAGCCAUCCCGCGUGAAGGACGACUGCCCUAUGGGUUGUAAACUUCUUUUCUGCAAGAAGAAUAGCCAGUAUUUAUAUUGGUAUGACGGUAUUGCAGGAAUAAGCACCGGCUAACUCCG